rnacentral:lncRNA from 1 species
AUCUAGCUUCCUUGAUCUGAACAGAUCUAGAAAGAAAAAUCAGCAAAGGAUUGCUGAACAAGGUACUUAUAUGAUAAUAUUUUAUAAUUUCUCUGUCUAUGAUACUACUACCUGGGUAUUGAAUAUCAAAAAUUUGAUUCAUAUCUAUAAUUCAUUGCAGAGACUUCAGGUUUGUAGAAAAUUUGAGAAAAGUGAAUAAUUUCUGAAUGUU